rnacentral:rRNA from 1 species
GGGGAAUUUUGCGCAAUGGGGGAAACCCUGACGCAGCAACGCCGCGUGGGUGAUGAAGGCCUUCGGGUUGUAAAGCUCUUUCGGACGGAAAGAAAUCGCGCAGGCUAAUACCCUGCGCGGAUGACGGUACCGUCAUAAGAAGCACCGGCUAACUACGUGCCAGCAGCCGCGGUAAUACGUAGGGUGCGAGCGUUAAUCGGAAUUACUGGGCGUAAAGCGUGCGCAGGCGGUUGAUUAAGACAGGCGUUAAAUCCCCGGGCUUAACCUGGGAACUGCGCUUGUGACUGGUCAGCUAGAGUACGGCAGAGGGGGGUGGAAUUCCACGUGUAGCAGUGAGAUGCGUAGAGAUGUGGAGGAACACCGAUGGCGAAGGCAGCCCCCUGGGCCGAUACUGACGCUCAUGCACGAAAGCGUGGGUAGCAAAC